GAUGAACGCUGGCGGCGUGCCUAAUACAUGCAAGUCGAGCGAACGGACGAGAAGCUUGCUUCUCUGAUGUUAGCGGCGGACGGGUGAGUAACACGUGGAUAACCUACCUAUAAGACUGGGAUAACUUCGGGAAACCGUAGCUAAUACCGGAUAAUAUUUUGAACCGCAUGGUUCAAAAGUGAAAGACGGUCUUGCUGUCACUUAUAGAUGGAUCCGCGCUGCAUUAGCUAGUUGGUAAGGUAACGGCUUACCAAGGCAACGAUGCAUAGCCGACCUGAGAGGGUGAUCGGCCACACUGGAACUGAGACACGGUCCAGACUCCUAGGGGAGGCAGCAGUAGGGAAUCUUCCGCAAGGGGCGAAAGCCUGACGGAGCAACGCCGCGUGAGUGAUGAAGGUCUUCGGAUCGUAAAACUCUGUUAUUAGGGAAGAACAUAUGUGUAAGUAACUGUGCACAUCUUGACGGUACCUAAUCAGAAAGCCACGGCUAACUACGU
rnacentral:rRNA from 1 species